GCCGGGGUUUCUUUACCAGGUACUGUCAUUAUCAUCCCUGGCGAAAGAGCUUUACGACCCUAGGGCCUUCAUCACUCACGCGGCAUGGCUAGAUCAGGCUUUCGCCCAUUGUCUAAGAUUC
rnacentral:rRNA from 1 species